GCGUUGAUACAUCGAUUCCCGUACGAUCACCAAAGUUAAGCAACGUCGAACCUGGUCAGUACCUAGAUGUAUGACCGCUUGGGAACGCCACGUGCUGUAAG